CAGUAGCCGCGGGAAAACGGAGGGUGCAAGCGUUAAUCGGAAUUACUGGGCGUAAAGCGCACGCAGGCGGUCUGUCAAGUCAGAUGUGAAAUCCCCGGGCUUAACCUGGGAACUGCAUUUGAAACUGGCAGGCUAGAGUCUUGUAGAGGGGGGUAGAAUUCCAGGUGUAGCGGUGAAAUGCGUAGAGAUCCGGAGGAAUACCGGUGGCGAAGGCGGCCCCCUGGACAAAGACUGACGCUCAGGUGCGAAAGCGUGGGGAGCAAACAGGAUUAGAUACCCCGGUAGUCCCUGUCUCUUAUAC
rnacentral:rRNA from 1 species